UUUUCAUCAGACAAUCUGUGUGAGCACUGCAAAGUACGCUUCUUUAAGGUAAGGAGGUGAUCCAACCGCAGGUUCCCCUACGGUUACCUUGUUACGACUUCACCCCAGUCAUGAAUCACAAAGUGGUAAGCGCCCUCCCGAAGGUUAAGCUACCUACUUCUUUUGCAACCCACUCCCAUGGUGUGACGGGCGGUGUGUACAAGGCCCGGGAACGUAUUCACCGUGGCAUUCUGAUCCACGAUUACUAGCGAUUCCGACUUCAUGGAGUCGAGUUGCAGACUCCAAUCCGGACUACGACGCACUUUAUGAGGUCCGCUUGCUCUCGCGAGGUCGCUUCUCUUUGUAUGCGCCAUUGUAGCACGUGUGUAGCCCUGGUCGUAAGGGCCAUGAUGACUUGACGUCAUCCCCACCUUCCUCCAGUUUAUCACUGGCAGUCUCCUUUGAGUUCCCGGCCGGACCGCUGGCAACAAAGGAUAAGGGUUGCGCUCGUUGCGGGACUUAACCCAACAUUUCACAACACGAGCUGACGACAGCCAUGCAGCACCUGUCUCACGGUUCCCGAAGGCACAUUCUCAUCUCUGAAAACUUCCGUGGAUGUCAAGACCAGGUAAGGUUCUUCGCGUUGCAUCGAAUUAAACCACAUGCUCCACCGCUUGUGCGGGCCCCCGUCAAUUCAUUUGAGUUUUAACCUUGCGGCCGUACUCCCCAGGCGGUCUACUUAACGCGUUAGCUCCGGAAGCCACGCCUCAAGGGCACAACCUCCAAGUAGACAUCGUUUACGGCGUGGACUACCAGGGUAUCUAAUCCUGUUUGCUCCCCACGCUUUCGCACCUGAGCGUCAGUCUUUGUCCAGGGGGCCGCCUUCGCCACCGGUAUUCCUCCAGAUCUCUACGCAUUUCNNNNNNNNNNNNNNNNNNNNCUCAAGCCUGCCAGUUUCGAAUGCAGUUCCCAGGUUGAGCCCGGGGAUUUCACAUCCGACUUGACAGACCGCCUGCGUGCGCUUUACGCCCAGUAAUUCCGAUUAACGCUUGCACCCUCCGUAUUACCGCGGCUGCUGGCACGGAGUUAGCCGGUGCUUCUUCUGCGGGUAACGUCAAUUGCUGCGGUUAUUAACCACAACACCUUCCUCCCCGCUGAAAGUACUUUACAACCCGAAGGCCUUCUUCAUACACGCGGCAUGGCUGCAUCAGGCUUGCGCCCAUUGUGCAAUAUUCCCCACUGCUGCCUCCCGUAGGAGUCUGGACCGUGUCUCAGUUCCAGUGUGGCUGGUCAUCCUCUCAGACCAGCUAGGGAUCGUCGCCUUGGUGAGCCGUUACCUCACCAACAAGCUAAUCCCAUCUGGGCACAUCUGAUGGCAAGAGGCCCGAAGGUCCCCCUCUUUGGUCUUGCGACGUUAUGCGGUAUUAGCCACCGUUUCCAGUAGUUAUCCCCCUCCAUCAGGCAGUUUCCCAGACAUUNNNNNNNNNNNNNNNNNNNNCCCGUCCGCCACUCGUCAGCAAAGCAGCAAGCUGCUUCCUGUUACCGUUCGACUUGCAUGUGUUAGGCCUGCCGCCAGCGUUCAAUCUGAGCCAUGAUCAAACUCUUCAAUUUAAAAGUUUGAUGCUCAAUGAAUUAAACUUCGUAAUGAAUUACGUGUUCACUCUUGAGACUUGGUAUUCAUUUUUCGUC
rnacentral:rRNA from 1 species